GCAUUGGUGGUUCAACGGUAGAAUUCUCACCUUUCAUGUGGGAGACCUGGGUUCAAUUUCUGGCCAACCCA
rnacentral:tRNA from 1 species